CCAGUAGCGGCGAGCGAACGGGGAGGAGCCCAGAGCCUGAAUCAGCAUGUGUGUUAGUGGAAGCGUCUGGAAAGGCGCGCGAUACAGGGUGACAGCCCCGUACACAAAAGCGCAUGUGCUGUGAGCUCGAUGAGUAGGGCGGGACACGUGGUAUCCUGUCUGAAUAUGGGGGGACCAUCCUCCAAGGCUAAAUACUCCUGACUGACCGAUAGUGAACCAGUACCGUGAGGGAAAGGCGAAAAGAACCCCGGCGAGGGGAGUGAAAAAGAACCUGAAACCGU
rnacentral:rRNA from 1 species